GACUUCGUGGCGCAACGGUAGCGCGUCUGAUUCCAUAUCAGAAGGUUGCGUGUUCAAAUCACGCCGCAGUCA
rfam:Glossina austeni unplaced genomic scaffold Scaffold183, whole genome shotgun sequence.